rnacentral:rRNA from 1 species
CACGUAGGGCGCAAGCGUUGUCCGGAAUUAUUGGGCGUAAAGAGCUCGUAGGUGGUUUGUUACGUCUGCUGUGAAAACCUAGGGCUUAACCCUGGGCUUGCAGUGGAUACGGGCAGACUAGAGGUAGGUAGGGGAGAAUGGAAUUCCUGGUGUAGCGGUGAAAUGCGCAGAUAUCAGGAGGAACACCGGUGGCGAAGGCGGGUCUCUGGGCCGAUACUGACGCUGAGGAGCGAAAGCGUGGGGAGCAAACAGG